UUCUUUUGGAUCAUACGUGGAGUAAAGGGGAGACAUGUAAAAUAGUCUGUACACAGCCACGACGAAUUUCUGCUACAUCAGUUGCUGAGAGAAUUUCUGCUGAAAGAGGUGAAAAUGUUGGAGAUACUGUUGGCUACAAGAUACGGCUGGAAAGCAAAGGUGGAAGGCAUUCAUCAGUUUUGUUUUGCACCAAUGGCAUAUUAUUGAGGGUUUUAGU